rnacentral:rRNA from 1 species
AGAUUGAACGCUGGCGGAAUGCUUUACACAUGCAAGUCGAACGGCAGCACGGGACUCAGGCAACUGAGCCCUGGUGGCGAGUGGCGAACGGGUGAGUAACAUAUCGGAACGUACCCAGUCGUGGGGGAUAACUCUCCGAAAGGAGAGCUAAUACCGCAUACGUCCUGAGGAGAAAGCGGGGACCUAAGGGUACUGAGGG